AUUGAACGCUGGCGGCAUGCCUUACACAUGCAAGUCGAACGGCAGCACGGGGGGAACCCUGGUGGCGAGUGGCGAACGGGUGAGUAAAGCAUCGGAACGUGCCCUGGAGUGGGGGAUAACGUAGUGAAAGUUACGCUAAUACCGCAUAUUCUGUGAGCAGGAAAGCAGGGGAUCGCAAGACCUUGCGCUCUGGGAGCGGCCGAUGUCGGAUUAGCUAGUUGGUGGGGUAAAGGCCUACCAAGGCGACGAUCCGUAGCGGGUCUGAGAGGAUGAUCCGCCACACUGGGACUGAGACACGGCCCAGACUCCUACGGGAGGCAGCAGUGGGGAAUUUUGGACAAUGGGCGAAAGCCUGAUCCAGCCAUGCCGCGUGAGUGAAGAAGGCCUCGGUGUAAGCUCUUCGGUGGAAGAAAACGACAUAGGUUAAUACCUU
rnacentral:rRNA from 1 species